GACGAACGCUGGCGGCGUGCUUAACACAUGCAAGUCGAACGGUGAAAGCGGAGCUUGCUCCGCUGGAUCAGUGGCGAACGGGUGAGUAACACGUGGGCAACCUGCCCCUCACUUCGGGAUAACUCCGGGAAACCGGGGCUAAUACCGGAUAUGACCUCCUUGGGCAUCCUUGGAGGUGGAAAGUUUUUCGGUGAGGGAUGGGCCCGCGGCCUAUCAGCGUGUUGGUGAGGUAGUGGCUCACCCAGGCGACGACGGGUAGCCGGCCUGAGAGGGCGACCGGCCACACUGGGACUGAGACACGGCCCAGACUCCUACGGGAGGCAGCAGUGGGGAAUAUUGCGCAAUGGGCGAAAGCCUGACGCAGCAAUGCCGCGUGCGGGAUGACGGCCUUCGGGUUGUAAACCGCUUUCAGCAGGGAAGAAGCCGCAAGGUGACGGUACCUGCAGAAGAAGCACCGGCUAACUACGUGCCAGCCGCCGCAGUAA
rnacentral:rRNA from 1 species